rnacentral:rRNA from 1 species
CACGUAGGGUGCGAGCGUUGUCCGGAAUUAUUGGGCGUAAAGAGCUCGUAGGCGGUGUGUCGCGUCGGCCGUGAAAACCUGCAGCUUAACUGUGGGCGUGCGGUCGAUACGGGCAUCACUGGAGUUCGGCAGGGGAGACUGGAAUUCCCGGUGUAGUGGUGAAAUGCGUAGAUAUCAGGAGGAACACCGAUGGCGAAGGCAGUUCUCUGGGCCGUAACUGACGCUGAGGAGCGAAAGCGUGGGGAGCGAACAGG